UACGGGGGGAGCAAGCGUUGUUCGGAUUUACUGGGCGUAAAGGGCGCGUAGGCGGCGCGACAAGUCACUUGUGAAACUCCGGGCUUAACCCGGAGCGGCCAAGUGAUACUGUAGUGCUAGAGUGCGGAAGGGGCUACUGGAAUUCUCGGUGUAGCGGUGAAAUGCGUAGAUAUCGAGAGGAACACCUGCGGCGAAGGCGGGUAGCUGGCCGACACUGACGCUGGAGGCGCGAAGACCAGGGGUAGCGGAACGGGA
rnacentral:rRNA from 1 species